UUCUGAUCUUGUCCGAGUACGUCCCUUGGUGGGCCGUCCAAGGCCUACUCAUGGACCUAGGGCGUAUGCCCGACACAAGCAUCCAAAACAAUCCACCACACAUCUUUUUACCUACACCCAAGCUUUUACCCCAACCAACCCAGCUUCGCCAAUUUCCAGCAACCAAUGACCUGGCCUCUUCCACCACACAUACAAUCGUACCACCAAACAAUCCCACAGCAUGCCAACCCAAACCCGCCUUAGAAGCCUCAAGAAACACUACC
rnacentral:lncRNA from 1 species